GGGUUCUAUCGUUGGUCGGGCUAUCCAGUCUGUACUAGCGUGUAGAAUUCUUACCUUCUGGGGAACCAUCAUGUUAUUAAUUUAGCGUGGUGGGAAACCAGGACCUUUACCUUGAAAAAAUUAGAGUGUUCAAAGCAGGCUUACGUCUGAAUACAUUAGCAUGGAAUAAUAGAAUAGGACGGUGGUCCUGUUUUGUUGGUUUCUGAAUCACCGUAAUGAUUAAUAGGGAUAGUUGG
rnacentral:rRNA from 1 species